rnacentral:tRNA from 1 species
GGGGUCGUGGCUCAGUGUAGAGCGCUUGCUUCACAUGUAUGAGGUACUGGGUUGGAUUCUCAGCACCGCA